CCCUUAGAUGUCCUGGGCUGCACGCGCGCUACACUGAUGUGUCCAGUAAGCACCUAACCUCUUCCGAAAGGAACGGGUAACCUUUGCAAAGCACAUCGUGAUGGGGAUAAAUUAUUGCAAUUAUUAGUCUUGAACGAGGAAUUCCUAGUAAGCACAAGUCAUCAGCUUGUGUUGAUUACGUCCCUGCCCUUUGUACACACCGCCCGUCGCUCCUACCGAUUGAAUGUUCCGGUGAGCUCUUCGGACUGCGCGGUCUGCAGUUUCUGCGUUCCGUGCGGAAAGUUGCGCAAACCUUAACAUUUAGAGGAAGGAGAAGUCGUAACA
rnacentral:rRNA from 1 species